GUUAUAUGGUCAAGCGACUAUGCGCACAUGGUGGAUGCCUAGGCGGUAGAAGGCGAUGAAGGACGUAGUAGCCUGCGAUAAGCCUCGGGGAGCUGGCAAACAAGCUUUGAUCCGGGGGUGUCCGAAUGGGGAAACCCGGCCACUUCGGUGGUCAUCGUGCACUGAAUACAUAGGUGUACGAAGCGAACCCGGGGAACUGAAACAUCUCAGUACCCGGAGGAAAAGAAAUCAACCGAGAUUCCCUCAGUAGCGGCGAGCGAACGGGGAGCAGCCCAGUCGCCAUAAUCCAGUGGAACCUAGCAGAACGGUCUGGAAAGUCCGGCCAUAGCAGGUGAUAGCCCUGUAUGCGAAAGGUGAAGCUGGUGGGUGACGAAGAGUAGGGCGGGCCACGUGGAAGCCCGUUUGAAGAUGGGGGGACCAUCCUCCAAGGCUAAAUACUCUCUACCGACCGAUAGUGAACCAGUACCGUGAGGGAAAGGCGAAAAGAACCCCGGAGAGGGGAGUGAAAUAGAUCCUGAAACCGUGUGCGUACAAGCAGUGGGAGCCCACUUCGGUGGGUGACCGCGUACCUUUUGUAUAAUGGGUCAGCGAGUUACUUUCAGCGGCAAGCUUAACCGUCUAGGGGAGGCGUAGGGAAACCGAGUCUUAAUAGGGCGUUCAGUCGUUGGGAGUAGACCCGAAACCGGUCGAGCUAGCCAUGGCCAGGGUGAAGGCAGGGUAAAACCUGCUGGAGGCCCGAACCUGUUACUGUUGCAAAAGUAUAGGAUGAGCUGUGGUUAGGAGUGAAAGGCUAAACAAGGCCGGAGAUAGCUGGUUCUCCUCGAAAGCUAUUGAGGUAGCGCCUCGCGUAUAACUCCUGGGGGUAGAGCACUGUUUAGGCUAGGGGGCCAUCCCGGCUUACCAACCCUAUGCAAACUCCGAAUACCAGGAAGUUCGAGCGCGGGAGGCACACGGCGGGUGCUAACGUCCGUCGUGAAGAGGGAAACAACCCAGACCGCCAGCUAAGGUCCCAAAAUUACAGCUAAGUGGGAAACGAUGUGGGAAGGCAUAGACAGCCAGGAGGUUGGCUUAGAAGCAGCCAUCCUUUAAAGAAAGCGUAAUAGCUCACUGGUCUAGUCGGCCCGCGCGGAAGAUUUAGCGGGGCUCAAGCUGUAUACCGAAGCUGCGGAUUCGCAUCCGAAAGGAUGUGAGUGGUAGAGGAGCGUUCUGUAAGCCUGCGAAGGUGUGUCGUGAGGCAUGCUGGAGGCAUCAGAAGUGCGAAUGCUGACAUGAGUAACGAUAAUGCGGGUGAAAAACCCGCACGCCGUAAACCCAAGGUUUCCUGCGCAACGUUAAUCGGCGCAGGGUGAGUCGGCUCCUAAGGCGAGACCGAAAGGUGUAGUCGAUGGAAAGCAGGUUAAUAUUCCUGCACCUCGGACUGCUGCGAUGGGGGGACGGAGAAGGUUAGGCAUACCGGGUGUUGGAUGUCCCGGGGAAAGCAUGUAGGCAGGGCCCUUAGGCAAAUCCGGGGGCUCAAUGCCGAGAUGCGAGACCACUGGCCUUGUGCCGGGAAGUUGCUGAUACCACGCUCCCAGGAAAAGCCCCUAAGCUUCAGGUAGUCCAGGCCGUACCGUAAUCCGACACUGGUGGGUGAGGAGAGAAUCCUAAGGCGCUUGAGAGAACUCGGGUGAAGGAACUAGGCAAAUUUGUACCGUAACUUCGGGAGAAGGUACGCCUCUGCCGGUGAAGAGACUUGCUCUCGUAGCCAGCAGGGGUCGCAGAGAAAUGGUGGCUGCGACUGUUUAACAAAAACACAGCACUCUGCAAACUCGCAAGAGGAAGUAUAGGGUGUGGAUCGAAGCCCCGGUAAACGGCGGCCGUAACUAUAACGGUCCUAAGGUAGCGAAAUUCCUUGUCGGGUAAGUUCCGACCUGCACGAAUGGCGUAACGAUAGCCACGCUGUCUCCACCCGAGACUCAGUGAAGUUGAAAUCGCUGUGAAGAUGCAGUGUACCCGCGGCAAGACGGAAAGACCCCGUGAACCUUUACUACAGCUUUACGCUGGACUUCGAACCUUUCUGUGUAGGAUAGGUGGGAGGCUUUGAAGCGCGGACGCCAGUUCGCGUGGAGCCAACGUUGAAAUACCACCCUGGAAUGUUUGAGGUUCUAACCUGGGCCCGUUAUCCGGGCUGGGGACAAUGUAUGGUGGGUAGUUUGACUGGGGCGGUCUCCUCCCAAAGAGUAACGGAGGAGCACAAAGGUACCCUCAGCGCGGUCGGACAUCGCGCGUUGCGUGCAAAGGCAUAAGGGUGCUUGACUGCAAGACAGACAAGUCGAGCAGGAGCGAAAGCUGGUCUUAGUGAUCCGGUGGUUCUGUAUGGAAGGGCCAUCGCUCAACGAAUAAAAGGUACUCCGGGGAUAACAGGCUUAUUCCUCCCAAGAGUCCACAUCGACGGAGGAGUUUGGCACCUCGAUGUCGGCUCAUCACAUCCUGGGGCUGUAGCAGGUCCCAAGGGUAUGGCUGUUCGCCAUUUAAAGUGGUACGCGAGCUGGGUUCAGAACGUCGUGAGACAGUUCGGUCCCUAUCUGCCGUGGGCGUUGGAAAUUUGAGGGGAGCUGUCCUUAGUACGAGAGGACCGGGAUGGACGCACCUCUGGUGUUCCGGUUGUCACGCCAGUGGCACUGCCGGGUAGCUAUGUGCGGACGGGAUAACCGCUGAAAGCAUCUAAGCGGGAAACCCUCCCCAAGAUUAGAUUUCCCCAGGGACUUGAUCCCUCUGAAGGGCCCUCGAAGACUACGAGGUUGAUAGGUCGGGUGUGUAAGUCCAGUAAUGGAUUCAGCUAACCGAUACUAAUUGCCCGUGCGGCUUGGCCAUAUAACACCCAAGCAG
rnacentral:rRNA from 1 species